rnacentral:rRNA from 1 species
ACGCACGCUGGCGGCGUGCUUAACACAUGCAAGUCGAACGGUGAAGCGCCUUCCUUUUUGGUGGGUGUGGAUGAGUGGCGAACGGGUGAGUAACACGUGAGUAACCUGCCCCCUUCUUCUGGAUAACCGCAUGAAAGUGUGGCUAAUACGGGAUAUUCUGGGUCUGUCGCAUGAUGGGUCUGGGAAAGAUAUUGUUUCGGUGGGGGAUGGGCUCGCGGCCUAUCAGCUUGUUGGUGGGGUGAUGGCCUACCAAGGCGGUGACGGGUAGCCGGCCUGAGAGGGUGGACGGUCGCACUGGGACUGGGACACGGCCCAGACUCCUACGGGAGGCAGCAGUGGGGAAUAUUGCACAAUGGGCGCAAGCCUGAUGCAGCGACGCCGCGUGAGGGAUGGAGGCCUUCGGGUGGUGAACCUCUUUCGCCAGUGAAGCAGGCCUGCCUCGUUUGUGGGUGGGUUGACGGUAGCUGGAUAAGAAGCGCCGGCUAACUACGU